CACGGGAAGAGGAGGGCAGACGCACACUGGCGUCGCUCUGCAGCCCGGGACUGGGCCCAGCAGCCAAACCAGCAGCUGCGCUGGAGGACGAGCACCCUCCAACGAGGCCAGACAGCUGCCCAGCUCAUGACAAAAAUUUCAGUUAAGAAACCAACUGAUGGUGAGCGGUGAGGUUACCUCCCCACCCUCUCACCCGGCCUCACCAUUUCCCGUUUUUGGGAGGGAAAACGCGUCCUCUGCCACAAAGCAGAACUCGCAACCACCAGGACUUCCUCACCGUGGUAAAGCCCACGGCUGGAGCGAGAGCAAGCGAAUCACAAGGCAAACAAGAAGGUCCGCGAAGCUGAGAAACCCCCUGUCCCAGUAUGAGACGGCCUCGUGUGGCACUGGGAGGCAGACCCAGAACCCCCUUCCCGUGCUUCACAGUGGACAGCAGAGUCACAAAGCACUGCAACGGGAGCCCAGCUGGCUGUUUUGGGGGGGUGGAACAGCCACCCAGAAUCUCUGGUCCUGAGGCCGUACAGCUGGCACCUGACCCUCACCAGAUCUGUCCGACUACAGAGCAAACAGGCUUCCCCUCUGCACGUGAACUCUGGAUGGUGGACAGGAUUCUCAGCCUGAGCCCCCGAGGGAAGAGGGAGCCCACCUAUCACGUGUUCACCAUCCUUGAAUCCAAGGGAAACGGCAAGCAAGGGCCUGAAAACUCCAGUAAGUGACCCUGAAAAUUACUCUUCUACCUCCCCCUCCCCACCAGGCCCAUGUGCCUGUUCACACCCGUGCUGGGUCCCCCCCAGUGUUCCCUGACAGCCACCAACAGGGUCCCCCCCAGCGUUCCCUGACAGCCACCAACAGGACCACAUCAGGGUUCCUGCUAUCCACAUGACACCACUGGCUUUACUCAAAGCGUGUGAUCAACCUGGAUGCGCCGCUACUUUUCUGCAUGGGCGGGCGUCCAAGCACCCCAGUCCAUGCCUGAACAACCGACUUAGGAAACUGUGUGGUCUUGGAUAGGCUUCGCACACAGUGCAGUUCAUCUGGCAGGUAUGGCCACAGACUACAGACUCUUAAGUAAAGGCAACUCUGCUUCUCCCUGAGAAAAGUCUCAGCCCGGCCAACUCCCAAAUCCACGUGCCUGUCUAGUGGCCUCAUUUCUUCAUUCAACUAUUUUCAGAGUGUCUCUGAGCCUUGUCCUCUGUGAACAGAAAGGUGAGGAAGACAUGACUGCUGCCCUCAGGCGGACGGGGGCAGAUGAAAGGUGAAGGAGACAGGUGAAUGGAUAGUCAUCACACAGCGUGAGCGCUGUGACUUCCUGGGUGACUAACAGCUGACAAGAUGAAACCUGAACUCACCUGCAAGAAGCGUGAGCUGUCCGUGGAGGGCAGGGGCAUGAGGGGAACUGGAAGGAGCAGGUGUGCUAAGCCUGAGCCCCGUCUCUGUGGAGAGCAGGGAGACAUCCAAGGUGCACUGGGGCUGCGGGAAGGAGGCACCAGCAUGGAGGCUUGCCCCAGGGGCUACAGACAUUAGCCCGCGGGGACUGAGAAGCCAGGAAAAGCCAGAGGACAGGCAGGGGGUAGCAACAACGUGACUACAGAGUGUGAUUUAUAAAGAGCACAAAGAAAGGACCAGAAAGGAAAGGGCGAGGGUCACCGGGUGAAGCCACUGAAAACCGAGUCGGAUAUGGGUCAAGAGAGCCACUUUCUCAUCCCCAGGGUGGCAGAGGGCAGCUGCCUGGGAGUCUGUGUGGAGGGGCAGCCCGUUCCACCUGCACAGUGCACUGCCCACACAGCUAUCCACGUCUCCCUCUCACACGCACAUAGGGCCUCUGGCCCCACAACUUCCCUGGGAUCAGGUAUGGUCACCCCCUCCGUGCAGCGAGGUUUGGAACAACUAAAGGACUUACUCAAUGGUUCGCAGCUAAUAAAAGAUAGGUCAGCACUAAAACUGAGGUUUUCUGAUUGCAUCAUGCUUCCAAAACUUUCAAAAUAAGGCUUGGGUGUGUGUUCUGCAUAACAGCCAGAGAAGUGUGACCAUGUCCAUUCUUACCAAAUGAGAAAGAAAGAAAACCACAAACUGUUAGGGCUGCAAAGGCCUCAGAUAACAUCAGGUACAGGAUGAACCAGAUCCAGUGGCCCACGGAACCUGUUAUAAAUAGAACCUACCAAGUCACAAUCUUCCUGGUAAGACCUGGAAGUCUGAAUGCUCCCAGAGCCUGCCCACUCCCAGGUCACACUUCUGCCACAUGGUCCACCGGAAGAGCCUCCGAGUCAGACCCCAUCCCUCCUCCUAGAGAGGCUGACCGCGGAGAGGAAGUGAGCGGUAGGAGGCCGCCCCAAGC